rnacentral:rRNA from 1 species
UGGUGGAGUGAUUUGUCUGGUUGAUUCCGUUAACGAACGAGAUCUCGAUUCUUUAAUGACAUUCAGUUCGACUUGUAGUUCACCUAACUUGUCUUCGGGCAACUUGUUGGAUGAGAACUGACUUUGUACUUAAGAAGACGGUGCAUGUUUACAAUGCACGGAAGUGCGAGCCAAUAGCA